AUUGAACGCUGGCGGCAGGCUUAACACAUGCAAGUCGAGCGGAGAUGAGGUGCUUGCACCUUAUCUUAGCGGCGGACGGGUGAGUAAUGCUUAGGAAUCUGCCUAUUAGUGGGGGACAACAUUCCGAAAGGAAUGCUAAUACCGCAUACGUCCCACGGGAGAAAGCAGGGGAUCUUCGGACCUUGCGCUAAUAGAUGAGCCUAAGUCGGAUUAGCUAGUUGGUGGGGUAAAGGCCUACCAAGGCGACGAUCCGUAGCGGGUCUGAGAGGAUGAUCCGCCACACUGGGACUUAGACACGGCCCAGACUCCUCCGGGAGGCAGCAGUGGGGAAUAUUGGACAAUGGGGGGAACCCUGAUCCAGCCAUGCCGCGUGUGUGAAGAAGGCCUUAUGGUUGUAAAGCACUUUAAGCGAGGAGGAGGCUCUUUUGGUUAAUACCCAAGAUGAGUGGACGUUACUCGCAGAAUAAGCACCGGCUAACUCUGUGCCAGCCGCCGCCGUAAUAC
rnacentral:rRNA from 1 species